GUUUGUUUAAAACACUCACUAUGAGCACAUCAGACAUGAGGCAUCUGAAGAAGUGACGGGUAGGUAUGGACUUUAUUGCUCCAAUAAAUUAUGUCACCAUUCAUUACUGUGUUUUCAUGGGUGAGGAUGGGUGACGAAGGAAGGACCUUUCGGUCUGCCCAAGCUCUCCACCAUGUAGUGAGCCUUUCUCAAUUAAAUCGGGCUUACUCACACCUCUUCAGCCACUUCCUUCUUGCUUUUCAGACCAGAUCUUCCCCAUUUAUUCUGAAAAUAUUUAUUGAGCAGCUGCAACAUCCCCUUCUCCACGACCACUUUUGCAAGGGAUGAGAGUAGAAGAUGCAGGGGGUGGAAAAGGGCUUUUCUGAGCUGCCUGCUCUCAUGGCUUAGUUCACUGCUGUCUAAUAGAACUGUCUGAGAUGAUGGAAGUGUUCUCCAAAAUCCGUGCUGUCCAGUAUGGACAAACUGAAGUGCCUUGGACCACUUGUUAUAGAAGGUGUGGUUGGGAUCCCUGUGCCAGUGCAUAAUGAAUUUAAGGAAGCAAUACAGUCCUGGGGGGCUCACAGCAGACACUCCAGAACUCAGUCCUCUCCACUCUCUUUAAAGCUUCAGUCUCUUAAUCAGUAAAGAACUGAAUCGAGGAUGAAAGGACAUAGCGUGUUUAGGCCUUGACCCAGGGCCUGGCCCACUGUAGAUGGCCAACUGGGGUAUUCCCUUCCCCUCUGCUCUGCUGUCUGGGUUCUCAGGACUCCUACAUGCUUCAGACAAGUAAAAGUUUCCACCAUGAGGAGGCGGGACUCAGGGAGCAGAGCCUAUGCUUCAGGUUGGAAGGACUGAACUCAGAGCUUCUGGGAGGGGCAGGCUGAAGAGGCCACCUCCUCCUUCAAAGGCUUCCAGAGCCUCAGACUCUGAUUCACCCAGGUGAGUUGCAUAACUUGAUGGACGCCACAAAUCAUAUCACUCCCACCGUGGGGAUUUCCAAGGGUGGGAAUUUGCCUCUCCCACUACAGCCUACCUGGACAGGUGUUGGAACAUAAUAGGUAUUCAGUGAAUAACGGUGGGUGGGUUGAUCACCCAAAGUCAUGUAGUUUGAAUGGCAGCCAGGAGCUAUGAGUUUUAGAUACCACCCCCCACCCUGCCCCCAGCUCUGUUCCAGGAAAACGCAAGGACUUUGGGGUCGCAAGUUAGGGCUGGACCCUCAGCUUUGCUGUUGCCUGGCUCUGUGAUCUUCGCAAGUGCUGACUCUGUUUGUUGUCUUUAUUUCCCUGGUGCCCUCCAAUUCUGGGACCUGAAUAUGUAUGGCCUGCUUUUGCUGGGCAGGUCCUGAGGCUGGCAUAGGCGUUAAGGACACACUUCUCCUCAGGCUGGGGUUUGUUCUCCCAAACCCCCGCCUCCUCUCCACACAGCGGAGCUUGCAGCUGGCUUCCUGUGGCUCCAACAACAGGCGGGCGGCGUUCUCCUUCCCUUCCCUGACCUCACCCAGCAAGCACUCCAGAGGCGGUCAAAACAAACAGGACUUGCGCGACCCGGCCAGGAAAUCCAGAACAAAGGAGGGCUUCUUUUAUCAGCUGUUUCCUUUUGUCAGAAGAUAAAUCGUGAGAGCAAUAACCUUAAAAAAAAAAAA